AGCAGGUCAAUCGUACGUACUUAGCAGAGCCUUUGAACCAUCACCGUUUCCAUGGGAAUAUCAACUACAAAGUAAUUUGCAAAUCUACAUUUAGCAACAAAAUCUGCUUUAGACCACAUGCAUCUGAAGGAGAUGCCUGUCUUUCCCUGUAGAAUUAGAUAAGACUACUUGCAGGCUCUUUACAAGUCUCAUUAUCAUUUUAGUGCUGGAGAAGUUUUGGAAAGAAAAAGAGGAAGUUAGGGUUCAAGAGCAUAGUUAUCCCCUAAUGUGGCUGCAGUGCACACAACAUACUUCUUGUAUUGAGAUUGUGAUCUUUUGAUCGUGUACUUCAUCUAACAAAGGGAGGAUUUAGACCAUUGCUUCCGAUAUCAGAAGUACCUUUCAACAGAAUAUAGUGAAGCUUAUGCAUCUGGAAACAUAUAUGAAAUACUAAAGAUGUAGAUGAUUCAUAAUUCUCAAUUGAUCUUUUAUCAGAAUCCAAAGUUGAAAGCUUUGUCUGAUCUAGAUGACUAAAUAGCUAGCAAUGCAAGAUCAUUGACACUAGAAGGCCUCGUGAAUGCAUGAUGAACCUUUUUUCUUUUUAUCUUCCUAACUUUCUAUUUUACAAUGCCAAUCCCAAGCCACAGAGACAUGUGGCCAUAGCUCCCCAGCACGGCCUUUAACCCUCUUCUUCUCUAUGACACUUCAAAGGGAUUAAGCUUGUGAGACACAAAAACAAGUUCAGUGUGCAAAAGAAUGCAAUCUAACAGAAGGCCCAAGCUGGCCGUCGAUCGAAGCCGUGACAACUUUCUCAUUAAUACAGCCUCACACAAUCUACCAGCAUUGAGGAUCAUAAAAGCGUGUUAUCCAGAAGAAAAAAACAUAACAAAAGCCCAUUUCGUUUAAAAGAGAAGAAAAAGAAGAUCCUGCGGUGCUGUAAGACGUUCCAGAGCUUGUGUGAGAAUCUUUAAAAGAGAAACACAGCUACUUGUAGGGCAGGCUUUGAAUCAUUUCACGGAGGAGCUAAAGAGCACAGUCGCCGGAAGCGGAAGGGAAAGACAAAGGAUAAAGACAAAGAGAAAGAUCAGCAAGAAAGGAGGAGGCGAACUGGGAGGCCAUGGCGCCGGUUGGUCUCCCUCCAGGCUUUAGAUUUCAUCCAACUGAUGAGGAGCUUGUGAACUACUACCUCAAGAGGAAGGUCCAUGGCCUCAGCAUCGACCUCGACAUAAUCCCAGAAGUAGACCUCUACAAAUGUGAGCCCUGGGAAUUGGAAGGUAAUCCGAAAACUUAAUUGCUCAUCCAUGUUCUCACUUCUCAUCAUCACUCCUGAAUCCUGAUUCGGCUCGAGAUGUUUUAUUUGUCUUCUUGUUUUGAAAGAGAAAUCCUUCCUGCCUAGUAAAGACUCCGAGUGGUACUUCUUUGGGCCAAGGGAUAGAAAGUAUCCCAAUGGAUGCCGCACAAACCGUGCAACCAGAGCAGGAUACUGGAAAUCGACGGGGAAAGAUCGGCGGAUCAACUACCAGAACAGGUCAAUUGGUAUGAAGAAGACACUAGUCUACUACAAAGGUCGAGCUCCUCAGGGGAUUAGAACCAGUUGGGUGAUGCAUGAGUACCGCAUCGAGGAAAGCGAAUGCGAGAACGCCAUGGGGAUUCAGGUUAUUCAUCCAUCCUCCUCACCAGCUGUUAGUCUCAGUUAAAUCAUUUUGAGUUGUAUCUGCUAUACUUGGUUAGCUGAGGCUGCAUUUCAGAGUAUCAAGCAUAGCCAAUCUUCUCAGUUAGCAGGAUUUGUAUGUAUUUAUGUUAUGCAAUAGUGAUCAUAUUUCAUAAUAUGCAAUAUUUGAGAUAUGUGCCUGCUAAAACAAAAUUGGCAAUAGAAACAUACAGAAGAAACAACUAGGGCAUAUUUGCUAGUUCAGGGAACCUACGUUCUUUAUGCAUGGAGUGCAUGAAAAGUUAGGGCUCUUCUCUCUUCUUUUCCCCCAUAUCCAUCAGUGAUAGCCAUAAAGUAUUCCUUGCUUCCAUGGACCAUAGCUACUUUACAAAGUACAUUAGAAGGUUUUCUCAGUUCUCUAAUGGGUCACACAUGGUUCACUUUUCUAGGUGCUCUUGAUAAG
rnacentral:lncRNA from 1 species